CACGUAGGGGGCAAGCGUUGUCCGGAUUUAUUGGGCGUAAAGAGCUCGUAGGCGGCUUAGUAAGUCGGGUGUGAAACCUCCAGGCUCAACCUGGAGACGCCACCCGAUACUGCUGUGGCUAGAGUCCGGUAGGGGAGCGUGGAAUUCCAGGUGUAGCGGUGAAAUGCGUAGAUAUCUGGAGGAAUACCGGUGGCGAAGGCGGCAUCCUGGACCAUUACUGACGCUGAGGCGCGAAAGCUAGGGGAGCAAACGGG
rnacentral:rRNA from 1 species